CCUACGGGAGGCUGCAGUGGGGAAUAUUGCACAAUGGGCGCAAGCCUGAUGCAGCCAUGCCGCGUGUGUGAAGAAGGCCUUCGGGUUGUAAAGCACUUUCAGCGGGGAGGAAGGCGGUGAGGUUAAUAACCUCAUCGAUUGACGUUACCCGCAGAAGAAGCACCGGCUAACUCCGUGCCAGCAGCCGCGGUAAUACGGAGGGUGCAAGCGUUAAUCGGAAUUACUGGGCGUAAAGCGCACGCAGGCGGUCUGUCAAGUCGGAUGUGAAAUCCCCGGGCUCAACCUGGGAACUGCAUUCGAAACUGGCAGGCUAGAGUCUUGUAGAGGGGGGUAGAAUUCCAGGUAUAGCGGUGAAAUGCGUAGAGAUCUGGAGGAAUACCGGUGGCGAAGGCGGCCCCCUGGACAAAGACUGACGCUCAGGUGCGAAAGCGUGGGGAGCAAACAGGAUUAGAUACCCCUGUAGUC
rnacentral:rRNA from 1 species